rnacentral:rRNA from 1 species
UACGUAGGGUGCAAGCGUUAAUCGGAAUUACUGGGCGUAAAGCGUGCGCAGGCGGUGAUGUAAGACAGUUGUGAAAUCCCCGGGCUCAACCUGGGAACUGCAUCUGUGACUGCAUUGCUGGAGUGCGGCAGAGGGGGAUGGAAUUCCGCGUGUAGCAGUGAAAUGCGUAGAUAUGCGGAGGAACACCGAUGGCGAAGGCAAUCCCCUGGACCUGUACUGACGCUCAUGCACGAAAGCGUGGGGAGCAAACAGG